AUUGAACGCUGGCGGCAGGCCUAACACAUGCAAGACGAGCGGAUGAAGGGAGCUUGCUCCUGGAUUCAGCGGCGGACGGGUGGGUAAUGCCUAGGAAUCUGCCUGGUAGUGGGGGAUAACGUCCGGAAACGGGCGCUAAUACCGCAUACGUCCUGAGGGAGAAAGUGGGGGAUCUUCGGACCUCACGCUAUCAGAUGAGCCUAGGUCGGAUAAGCUAGUUGGUGGGGUAAAGGCCUACCAAGGCGACGAUCCGUAACUGGUCUGAGAGGAUGAUCAGUCACACUGGAACUGAGACACGGUCCAGACUCCUACGGGAGGCAGCAGUGGGGAAUAUUGGACAAUGGGCGAAAGCCUGAUCCAGCCAUGCCGCGUGUGUGAAGAAGGUCUUCGGAUUGUAAAGCACUUUAAGUUGGGAGGAAGGGCAGUAAGUUAAUACCUUGCUGUUUUGACGUUACCAACAGAAUAAGCACCGGCUAACUUCGUG
rnacentral:rRNA from 1 species